GGUACACGUCAUUUUAUUCCUCCCUGAAAAAAGAGGUUUACAACCCAUAGGCAGUCUUCCCUCACGCGGUAUUGCUCCGUCAGGCUUUCGCCCAUUGCGGAAAAUUCCCCACUGCUGCCUCCCGUAGGAGUA
rnacentral:rRNA from 1 species